rnacentral:rRNA from 1 species
AUUGAACGCUGGCGGCAUGCUUUACACAUGCAAGUCGAACGGUAGAGGGGGCAACCCCUUGAGAGUGGCGAACGGGUGAGUAAUGCAUCGGAACGUGCCCAGUCGUGGGGGAUAACGCAGCGAAAGCUGUGCUAAUACCGCAUACGAUCUCUGGAUGAAAGCGGGGGACCGAAAGGCCUCGCGCGAUUGGAGCGGCCGAUGUCAGAUUAGGUAGUUGGUGGGGUAAAGGCCUACCAAGCCAACGAUCUGUAGCUGGUCUGAGAGGACGACCAGCCACACUGGGACUGAGACACGGCCCAGACUCCUACGGGAGGCAGCAGUGGGGAAUUUUGGACAAUGGGCGCAAGCCUGAUCCAGCAAUGCCGCGUGCAGGAAGAAGGCCUUCGGGUUGUAAACUGCUUUUGUACGGAACGAAACGGUCUGGGUUAAUACCUUGGGCUAAUGACGGUACCGUAAGAAUAAGCACCGGCUAACUACGUGCCAGCCGCCGCGGUAA